rnacentral:lncRNA from 1 species
AGGAGACGGGAGGAGAGAGGAGAGAGGAGGAGAGAGGAGGAGAGAGGAGGAGGGAGGAGGAGAGAGGAGGAGAGAAGAGGAGAGAGGAGGAGGGAGGAGGAGAGAGGAGGAGGGAGGAGGAGAGAGGAGGAGGGAGGAGGAGAGAGAGGAGGAGAGAGGAGACAGGAGAGAGGAGAGAGGAGACAGGAGAGAGGAGACAGAAGAGAGGAGACAGGAGACAGACAGGAGACAGGAGACAGACAGGAGACAGAGAGAGAGAGACAGAGAGAGAGAGAGAGAGAGAGAGAGAGAGAGAGAGAGAGAGAGAGAGAGAGAGAGAGAGAGAGAGGAGAGAGCAUUCCUUUGGCAUUCUUGUUGCUAUUGAAAUUUUGUUGAAAUGGAGAGAAUCUGUAUUCCAAAGUAUUGUCAUAUUUUUUUGUGUGACUCUAGUUGUCUUUCCAAAUUUGUUUUGUCUUGUCUACACCCUUAUCUGAAACAUUAACCAGUUCAUCUUCAUAGGAGCCAUGUGAAGCCAAAUCAUGUCAUGGUGCACACUACCCCAGGGCAUCCGAGAGCUUAAAAGGGAGAACAGUUUCAUCUGCAUGGUGAACAGUGCAGGAGAUGCCUGCCAAGCCCUAACACAGUAGACUGAAGAUGGCCACACAGGUCUCAUUGAUGGAAGAGUGUCCUGCUGAUUGGUAGGGAAGUGGCACGGGAGACAGAGGUGGCAUCAGCAGCCAGGUGGACUGGGAGCAAGAAGAGAAGGAAAACGUUUUCUCAUCUCAGGAACACCCAGCACCUUACCAUGACCCUCUGUUGUGCAAGAAGAUUAUAAGAGGCAACUUGGGGAACUUCCUCACUGGGGCAAAGUUCCUCUCUCUCCAGCAGAAGUCAAGUGAUCAGGGCAUUGUGUGGCCGAGUGAAUAUCAACCAUUGAGGAUAUCCACAGAGAUCUGGGUGUAAGAUCUGCUUAGGCAGUAGUGUCACCAAGAGUAUCAUAUACUGGAAACUGGACACAAAUUGUGUGGUUUAAACAACUCGGAAUACACAGACAAUUUUGUAUGUACAGUAAACUUUCUGUGUUUGAACUGUACCUAAACAACUGUGCAAUUGACACACCUGGAAUUCUGGAUAACCUUGGAAUACAAAUGGGGACACGAACCUCCUCCACUGGGAAAACUGAAGCUCACUGUGUUGUGUGCUCACUGCAAACUCAAGUUGGACUGUCUUUCUACCCGAAAUGAUGACUUUAUUCUUUCCUGUAUUGCAUGACAAACUUUGCCGUUGCUCCUGCGCAAAGGCCUCUGGUUGAAGCCGUUGGUGGGCAGUGCUGCUGCCUGUUUUUGGACUCCUUUGGACGCCAGGGCUGUAAACUCAAGCGGGUUGUCGUUUCAAAUGAAAAGUUCUUGUGUAUCACACACUUGAUAACACUUCUGCCUAAGAAAUUAAACUCCCAGCUCUCUGUGGACAUCCCCAAUGGCUAAUCUUCAAUUGAACAUAUAAUACCUAAAAGAAGAAAUCAGUCAGCUUUCAAUAUCUCGGACUUUUUUGACAGAUCUCCAUAUUUCACUUCUGUAGGUCUGGCCCUACUUCUCUGCCAAUCAGCAGGAGCCUCUUCCACCAAGGAGAUCUGAAAACAAGAGGUUUUGGUUCUUAUUCAUGAUCAUGUUUGAAACCAGAUCCAGAUAUGAAUUCAACUGUCAAACACUCCAGACUUCUCCUUGACUCCACUCAGAGGACAGGUGGUGCACCUCACCUUUCAUGUGGUCAGAUGUCCUACGACAAAAUGUUCACCAUGGCAUGGCCAAUGGCUCCGAUGAAGCAGUAGAAGAGGUGGUUAGUGUUUUCAAAUGAUUGUGGAUACAAGAGAAAACUAAUUUGAAGGACACCUAAAGUCACAUGAAAUAUGUGCUGAUCAUGAAGAGAACCUUAUUGACAAGCUGGGAGUAGAUUCUGGGAAUGGCUCUUUCGGGCACUGUUGUCCCUAGAGGAUGAUAUCAGAGAGUGGAGAGCAAUGUGCUGAAGAUACAGACCAGAGCAGAAGAGCACAGAGCCAGGUAGG